GUGAACGUUACCAAACUGUUGCCUCGGCGGGAUCUCUGCCCCGGGUGCGUCGCAGCCCCGGACCAAGGCGCCCGCCGGAGGACCAACCAAAACUCUUAUUGUAUACCCCCUCGCGGGUUUUUUUAUAAUCUGAGCCUUCUCGGCGCCUCUCGUAGGCGUUUCGAAAAUGAAUCAAAACUUUCAACAACGGAUCUCUUGGUUCUGGCAUCGAUGAAGAACGCAGCGAAAUGCGAUAAGUAAUGUGAAUUGCAGAAUUCAGUGAAUCAUCGAAUCUUUGAACGCACAUUGCGCCCGCCAGUAUUCUGGCGGGCAUGCCUGUCCGAGCGUCAUUUCAACCCUCGAACCCCUCCGGGGGGUCGGCGUUGGGGAUCGGCCCUGCCUUGGCGGUGGCCGUCUCCGAAAUACAGUGGCGGUCUCGCCGCAGCCUCUCCUGCGCAGUAGUUUGCACACUCGCAUCGGGAGCGCGGCGCGUCCACAGCCGUUAAACACCCAACUUCUGAAAUGUUGACCUCGGAUCAGGUAGGAAUACCCGCUGAACUUAAGCAUAUCAA
rnacentral:rRNA from 1 species